CUGUUCGAAGCCAUUCCCCCUCGUCCUGCCCUUACAAAAAGUCCCUCUCCACCUUGCUCGCAGCUGCCCUCGGGUACUGGAAGGACACGCCUCCCUCAGCCCCCGACAGCCGCCUGAGGGUAUAGACAGAAGGCAGCUCCAGAGAGAUACAAGUAUUUUGGCCUCUUCAAGCAGUGUCUGAUAUAAAAUCUCUUCAUACACAUUCUCUACUUGGAUCACACUCGUGUAAUCAGCAAAAAUGUACUGCUCGUAUUUCUGCAGCUCCUGUG